UUAACUUCACUGGGCGGCUAAAGGAACGUGGCUUUGAGUGUUGAUCCGAACUGAAAUCACGCUCAAAAUCACCUUACGGUGCAGACUGUCACUGCAUUCUUAAGGGGAAAACGUGCUGUAGAAGCUAGCGCCUUCCAGCCAGACAGAGCUGCUGAGAGGAGCCAGUCCCCCAUCAGAGCCAGAGCUGCUGAGAGGAACCAGUCCCCCAUCAGAGCCAGAGCUGCUGAGAGGAACCAGUCCCCCAUCAGAGCCAGAGCUGCUGAGAGGAACCAGUCCCCCAUCAGAGCCAGAGCUGCUGAGAGGAACCAGUCCCCCAUCAGAGCCAGAGCUGCUGAGAGGAACCAGUCCCCCAUCAGAGCCAGAGCUGCUGAGAGGAACCAGUCCCCCAUCAGAGCCAGAGCUGCUGAGAGGAACCAGUCCCCCAUCAGAGCCAGAGCUGCUGAGAGGAGCCAGUCCCCCAUCAGAGCCAGAGCUGCUGAGAGGAACCAGUCCCCCAUCAGAGCCAGAGCUGCUGAGAGGAACCAGUCCCCCAUCAGAGCCAGAAGCUGCAUUAAACAAACAUGUAGACAUACACAACACACUCACACAGUACGUACAUACGACCAAGAAAAUAUGCAAGCUUAACCCUCAAUUCACAAUUUAAUGGUUUAAUUUAUUUACCAAGUAGCCUAAAUUAUACACUAACUGAAGAAGAUGCAAUAACUGACUCACAAAGCCUGCUGCUUUAUAUGGAGACACUACCAUUUCAAUAUCCUUUCAAUCUACCUCUCUCUUCCUCUCUCUUCAUCGAUGUUAAUCCUUCGCUCUCUUUUUCCAUCUCUCACACACACACACACAGACAAGAACGUACAAAACCCUGACGCAGUGUUUGUGAGUAAGCAUAGAGGUGAUGUAUAGUUUAGCUCCCACAUUAGCAGGCGCCCCUGCUGGUGUUUGGGAUUCCACUCCCCACACCACACACACACAGCCAGAAUCAUCUGCCACCCCAGAUCCUCCUCUGUUUCCCCCUUCAUCCUCAACAACUUUUACCCCUGGAGGGCCCUACCACACACAACCCCAUCUCACACACACACCAGGGCCUCUGAUCAGUGUGGCUGCCGUGCCUACUAUCUGAUGUCUUAAGCUCACUGCAAGAGACAAGACAACACUGCAGAUCAUAUGGCUGAGGGGUCGCCUAUUUACUGUAUAUGGAGGGAUUGUCAGAGUGGUUAUUUGAUCCCAGAUGAUGCACAAGACUUGCAAUUUAUAUUUGUGUACAAUCAAUAAAACAAGAAAAUCAUG